GAUGAACGCUAGCGGCAGGCUUAACACAUGCAAGUCGAGGGGUAGAGGCUUUCGGGCCUUGAGACCGGCGCACGGGUGCGUAACGCGUAUGCAAUCUGCCUUCCACAGAGGGAUAGCCCAGAGAAAUUUGGAUUAAUACCACAUAGUAUUACAGGAUGGCAUCAUCCGGUAAUUAAAGUCACAACGGUGGAAGAUGAGCAUGCGUCCCAUUAGCUAGUUGGUAAGGUAACGGCUUACCAAGGCGACGAUGGGUAGGGGUCCUGAGAGGGGGAUCCCCCACACUGGGACUGGGACACGGACCAGACUCCUACGGGAGGCAGCAGUGAGGAAUAUUGGUCAAUGGGCGCAAGCCUGAACCAGCCAUGCCGCGUGCAGGAUGACGGUCCUAUGGAUUGUAAACUGCUUUUGUACGGGAAGAAACACUGAUUCGUGAAUCAGCCUGACGGUACCGUAAGAAUAAGGAUCGGCUAACUCCGUGCCAGCCGCCGCCGUAACAC
rnacentral:rRNA from 1 species